UUUUAUAUUGUGAUUUAAUAAUCAUAUUUAUGAUGGUAUGACAAGCCAACAGUGCCCUAGCUUGAUGCAAUGUGAAUCGUUUAUUUUGUCGGUGCAAUCUUGGUUGUUGCUGAUAAUUGACUCACGAUAGAACAAUACAAUAUGAUAAUAAAUAUGAUUGGUAUGAGGAUGCUCAAUGCAUUGUGUUGGAUCUUUCACUAUAUUAGGUUGAAGAUGGAGGGGAGUAGUUGCUAUUGUGUAUUAUGAUGGUGAUGUGGUACAAACUUCUGAGGAGGUAUAGUUUGAAUGUCUAAAUGGUCCUAAAUUCAUAAAAAUUAGUGAGGAAAUGUUGCUUAUUGCUUUGAGGAAAGUAGUCACAAAUGUCAUCAAAGGCAAAAGAAGCAGGCAGAAGAAGCUUAUUUGAGGUUUUUUUUAUUGUAAACAUAUAUAUGUAGGUAAUGGUUGUGCUUAGUAUGACUGCAUGGAGCUUAAAGACACAAUGAAGUGGGGAAAACGUUUUUCAUCUUUUCAUAAUUUAGUUCUAAAGGUCUGAUCAAGUUGUAUGCGAUGGUUAGCCGAUCUCCAAAAGAAUUCUUUGCCCUGGUGAGAAACCAAGAAAACCAAGACCUACCGAAGAAAUCAUUUCUGUGAUGCAUAGAUCAAUGGUGACAACAAGCUCUAAUGAAGAUCAUAACUCUAUUUAG
rnacentral:lncRNA from 1 species